UNGCGGCGUGGNUUACACAUACAAGUCGAGCGGCAGCACGACCUUCGGGUUGGUGGCGAGCGGCGAACGGGUGAGUAAUACAUCGGAACGUACCUUUUAGUCGGGGAUAACGCAUCGAAAGAUGUGCUAAUACCGAAUAAUCUCUGAGGAGGAAAGGCGGGGAUCGGAAACGACCUGUCGCUGAAAGAGCGGCCGAUGGCCGAUUAGCUAGUUGGCGGGGUAAAAGCCCACCAAGGCGAUGAUCGGUAGCUGUUCUGAGAAGAAGAUCAGCCACACUGGGACUGAGACACGGCCCAGACUCCUACGGGAGGCAGCAGUGGGGAAUUUUGGACAAUGGGCGAAAGCCUGAUCCAGCCAUGCCGCGUGCGGGAAGAAGGCCUUCGGGUUGUAAACCGC
rnacentral:rRNA from 1 species